AUAUCUCUCUGUACGGGAAGGAUGAGAAGCUUCGACUAAGGUUCGAUUCGAGCGCAGCGAGAAAGCGUUGCCGCAGGCAACGACCCGAAGGGCGAAG
rnacentral:sRNA from 5 species